GCGCAGACCGCAUCUUCCCCACGAACCCUAGCCGCGUCCUCGUCUCCUCCUCCAUCCGCGCGCCUCAGCGGCGACCCUAUGGAGGGCGGCCGGGUCGGAGCGGUCCCCGCGUCCCUCCUUCCCCGCUCGGCGCUCUCUACUCCCAGCGCAGCUGCCGCCUCCCUCCACUCUUCCCAUCUCGCUAGAGCCGCCGCAUCCGGAGGCGACCGGCGUUGCUCCAUCUCGACCUGCCCGUAACCUUCUCUCCCCGCAGCGGGCGGAGAAGAUGGAGAGGAGCUCGUCCGCCCACCUUCCACCAUGGUUUGCAGCGGUCGGAGAAGAUGGAGAGGCCGAACUGCGGCUGCCUCGCGUGCGCUCUCCUGCAUCUCGCGUGGGAGCGAGUGGUGGUGACUAGCAUAGAAGGCGGAGGAGGUCAUUGGGGCCGGCUUCCCUUCCGUUUUGGCUGCCAAGCUCCACGCGUUGGUGUUUGAUGAAAGUUCAGUAAGGCUGUGAGGGAAUACCAAACGAGAGAGGAUCCAGUAUCUUUUACAUGCAUCAGAUAUAGAUUGCAGUCAAGACACCUGCUCCCUCGUCAUCGACGGAAGGAGGAGAGCAGCAGCCACAACAGGCGACGGUGCUGGCGAAUGCGUCAGACAUGAGUCGCUUCGGCUUCUUCCAGCGGCCCAGCCAUGACGCCCU